rnacentral:tRNA from 1 species
UGUAAAAUGGCUGAGGUUAUAGGCGAUAGAUUGUAGCUCUAUUAACGAAGUUAAUUCUUCUUUUGCAA